rnacentral:rRNA from 1 species
UGCUAAUCCCGGAUGAGCCNNUGGGUAAAAGAUAAAUUGCCUGGAGAUGAGCUCGCGUCUGAUUAGCUAGUUGGUGGGGUAAAAGCUUACCAAGGCAACGAUCAGUAGCUGGUCUGAGAGGAUGAGCAGCCACACUGGGACUGAGACACGGCCCAGACUCCUACGGGAGGCAGCAGUGGGGAAUUUUCCGCAAUGGGCGAAAGCCUGACGGAGCAAGACCGCGUGGGGGAGGAAGGCUUUAGGGUUGUAAACCCCUUUUCUUUGGGAAGAAGUUCUGACGGUACCAAAGGAAUCAGCCUCGGCUAACUCCGUGCCAGCAGCCGCGGUAAUACGGAGGAGGCAAGCGUUAUCCGGAAUGAUUGGGCGUAAAGCGUCCGCAGGUGGCCAUGUAAGUCUGCUGUCAAAACCCAGGGCUCAACUCUGGUCAGGCAGUGGAAACUACAAAGCUAGAGUCUGGUAGGGGCAAAGGGAAUUCCCGGCGUAGCGGUGAAAUGCGUAGAUUUCGGGAAGAACAUCGGUGGCGAAAGCGCUUUGCUAGACCAGAACUGACACUCAGGGACGAAAGCUAGGGGAGCGAAUGGGAUUAGAUACCCCAGUAGUCCUAGCCGUAAACGAUGGAUACUAGGUGUUGCCUGUAUCGACCCAGGCAGUGCCGUAGCUAACGCGUUAAGUAUCCCGCCUGGGGAGUACGCACGCAAGUGUGAAACUCAAAGGAAUUGACGGGGGCCCGCACAAGCGG